AACGAACGCUGGCGGCAGGCUUAACACAUGCAAGUCGAACGGACGUAGCAAUACGUUAGUGGCAGACGGGUGAGUAACGCGUGGGAAUGUGCCCUUUAGUUCGGAAUAACACAGAGAAAUUUGUGCUAAUACCGGAUAAUCCCGAGAGGGGAAAGAUUUAUCGCUGAAGGAGCAGCCCGCGUCUGAUUAGCUAGUUGGUGAGGUAAUGGCUCACCAAGGCGACGAUCAGUAGCUGGUCUGAGAGGAUGAUCAGCCACACUGGGACUGAGACACGGCCCAGACUCCUACGGGAGGCAGCAGUGGGGAAUAUUGGACAAUGGGGGCAACCCUGAUCCAGCCAUGCCGCGUGUGUGAAGAAGGCCUCGGUUGUAAGACGACUUAAGUCGAGGAGGAAGGUACGUUU
rnacentral:rRNA from 1 species